AGCCGACCAUGAGCCGCUCACGGACUCGUGUGACCUGCAUACAACGUAGGAAAAAGCACCCUUCCUGUAUGCUCUUUCUUUGCUUCUUUCACAAUCUCCAACACCAUCUCACCUUUUUGACAUAGUCCUCGAGUAAUAUAAUGCUUUUCAACACUGACCUAGUAGACUGAACAGUACACUUUACAAGUAAUCCACAUUUCAGCGUAAAUUUUUCAUACGUAUUCCAACUAUACCAACUAUUUAUACCCUAUCACUUCACCACGCGUACAUACCUACAACCUUGUUACGAUCGCGCGUUUACCGACCGCGAUCCAACCUCAUCCGCCUUGGCCAAACCUUACCCACCUUGGCCAAACGCAUGUACAUGUACCAACCACCACCACGACCGCGACCCUCACCUUUCAAAACCAAAUUAACAUUGUACACGUACGUACAAACAUAGACAGACCACAGCGCCACGACCACCACCGCAUGCAUAUAUGCGAAGCACGAACAACCUCGGACAACCUCGGACUGCACAAGGAGGGUAGGAUUCGGGCUGGAAUUAGGGAAGAGCUCUGUCGCAGAAUUAGCCUGGAUUUUAUUCCUGACAAACUGUUGCUACUGCCGGGACAGGCCCUUGAAUUGGCCUGACAGGGAUAUGAAUUGGCCUGGCAGGGACAUUCCGACAGUCAGAAUUAGCCUGACAGGGAUACGAAUUAGCCUGGCGGGAGAUUCCGACAGUCAGAAUUAGGCUGACAGGGUGUCGAAUUGGCCUGGCAGGGACAUUCGGACAGUCAGAAUUAGCGUGUUCAGGGUGUCGAAUUAGGGAAGCACGGGAAUUGUGCGACCGGGGCAGUCAAAAGAAUUGCUCUGCCCGACAGUGUGUCCUACCCUCUACUGCACACAAGGACGUCGAAAAUUACAUUUACACACAAUAAUUCACCGACUAUACACAACGAUUCGCUACAUUCCUUCCUUUAUAACGCUUUCAUGAUUUCAUGACAGAAUUUCUGUACUUAUAACUUAACAAAUACGCAAUCGAAGGACAGGGAAGGACAGGGAAGGACAGGGAAGGACAGGGAGGGACAGGGAAGGACAGGGAGGGACACACCCGAACGCCCCGAACGCACCCGAACUCCCGAACAACAGCUACGGCACCCUCAGGACCGACGGGACCGUGCCUCGUUCGGGUCGGAAGGAAUGCCGUACGAACUUAAGACAGCACCGAAAAGAUCGGGAGGUUGCCAGUUUGAUCACGAGCGAAUGUAUGCAUCUGUGCUUUUUUAUGCAAUGAGUGCAAUUGAAGGAGGGAUAGGGAAGGACAGGGAGGGAUAGGGAACGCACCCGAACGCACCCGAACGCACCCGAACGCACCCGAACGCACCCGAACGGACGCCCCCGGAUGCAUUCAACGUGCAUGCACGCGCACGCACCCGCGCGCCCGGGCACGCAACCUAAAACAGCGGGCAACAGUGGAAGAGCACCCGUUUAGUAAGCGGGAGGUCUCGAGAUCAAAACUCGACAUGAGCAGCAUAUCGCUCUUGCGCGGGAAAUAUCUGGUCUGGCUUUUUCAUAACAUGAUCCAUCCUGGUGUGUACGUGUGCGUGUAUGCUGGUGGGUAGAUGGGUGUAUGUAUGUGUAGACCUUACCCUAUUAAUAAUUCAUGAUGCCCUCCACCACGAAUCCUAGGUUUGAAAUGAACGCUCGGUGGCACAUUGUAUAAUCACAAUCCAGAGCAAGAAGGACGAGGCAUGCUUGUAUAAUGAGGUUGUGCACCAUGGAGAUACGGGUUAUUAGUGGGCGUGUUCGCUUUGAUAAUGGGAUGGGCUACUACAAUGGCAUGGUGGGUGUCGCGUGCGCAAUUGGGUUGGCCCGCGGGUCGAGCUUUU
rnacentral:lncRNA from 1 species